GAUGAAGAACGUAGCGAAAUGCGAUACUUGGUGUGAAUUGCAGAAUCCCGUGAACCAUCGAGUCUUUGAACGCAAGUUGCGCCCGAAGCCAUCAGGUUGAGGGCACGUCUGCCUGGGCGUCACAUAUCGUUGCUCGAUGCCUAUCGCAUUGCGAUAGGACUUAGGGCGAAUGAUGGCUUCCCGUGAGCGUUGUUGCCUCGCGGUUGAUUGAAAAUCGAGUCCUUGGUAGGGUGUGCCAUGAUAGAUGGUGGUCGAGUUAGCACGAGUCCGAUCAUGUGCAUGCUCCCCAAAAUAUGGCCUCUGUGACCCACACGCGUCUUUUGACGCUCAUGACGAGACCUCAGGUCAGGCGGGGCUACCCGCUGAAUUUAAGCAUAUCAAUAAGCGGAGGA
rnacentral:misc_RNA from 1 species